AUUAUUAGUUAAGGGCUUUAAACCCAAAGAAUUUGGCGGUACCUUAUUCUAUUCAGAGGAACCUACCCCAUAAUUGAUAGUACACGAUUAACUUUACUUAGUUUAUUUGUUUGUAUAUCUCCGUUAUCAGAAUAUCUUUUUAGAGUUAAAAUUUUCUAGAUUUAAAAUUAUAGAGUAUUUCAGGUCAAGGUGCAGCUUAUAAUUAAGAGGAGGUGGGUUACAAUAGAUUUUAUUUACAAUGGAUUUAUUAAUGAAAUAUUAAUAAUGAAGGUGGAUUUGAUAGUAAUUUAAUUUAUUUAAUUUAAUU
rnacentral:rRNA from 1 species